rnacentral:lncRNA from 1 species
GCGUCCUGCCUGUACAUUCCGAAGUUCUGUGAAAAGAGGCACUAGCGCUCAGCCACGCAAGGCAGGAAAACAGAGGAAGUUUUCGCAUUCUGACUGCAGCCUGAGUUCCCCGGAGCAAGGCUGCUUCUCUCCACCCACUCCUCACCAAGAACUCCUGAACUUGAGAGUGGACGACUUCAAAGCUAGCUCUCACAGACUCACCUGGAAAAGAGUUCAGCUGCGCGUUCAUUGAACCGAGAGGCCAGAUCACCUAUGUGAGGCGGUGGGAACCAUAUGGAGAUUUAUAUUAGAACUUCAGCAAAGUGCACAGCUGCAGCCGGCAGAAGCCAGCUCUCGGGCUGACAGGCAAAUGAACCAGAUCGUGGACGGGGCCUCUGGGUGGCAGCUCCGGCCUUUUGGUUGUUGGACAACUAUAGUCAGAACUGAAAUGGAACAGGGGCAGGAGAAAUAACACACUUUUACUCCACGCAACUGUUGCUUUCACAUGAUCUUCAGGAAUGUAACUGGGAUAAUUGUCCAAAUUGAAUCCCAUACCCUGUCAUGCAUACCAGAAUAGGAGUCCUGUCUUAACUGAGCAAUAUACACUAUGGAGAGAUCCUUCAAAACCCGUCGGGACGAAUAACAGAUGAAUUCAUAAAACUGUUCAUCUCUGUUAUCCUGAAUGGUCACUCAGACAACAUUUUACUCAACUAUAAAGGGGAACACUUAAAGUGCAUAUGAGAAGAGAAGAGAAUGACCACAGGAGAAAAUCAUCUCAGGCCACGAUUUCCUAACCAGAAUCUGUAAGAGAGAUUCCAAGAACUUGGGAGAAGCAUAUUGUGUGAUGUUCUAUAUUUAUGAGACCCAUAGCAAACUGUGAAGAGAUAACAGAAUGCUUUUUGCGUGAGCUGAAACAGUAGAUGAAAUCUUUCAUUAAAAUUACUCAUACUUUGGGUCCUAUUCUUAUUUAUAAAUAAAUAUUAUUGCAAACAUUU